AUUGAACGCUGGCGGCAGGCCUAACACAUGCAAGUCGAGCGGAUGAAGGGAGCUUGCUCCUGGAUUCAGCGGCGGACGGGUGAGUAAUGCCUAGGAAUCUGCCUGGUAGUGGGGGAUAACGUCCGGAAACGGGCGCUAAUACCGCAUACGUCCUGAGGGAGAAAGUGGGGGAUCUUCGGACCUCACGCUAUCAGAUGAGCCUAGGUCGGAUUAGCUAGUUGGUGGGGUAAAGGCCUACCAAGGCGACGAUCCGUAACUGGUCUGAGAGGAUGAUCAGUCACACUGGAACUGAGACACAGUCCAGACUCCUACGGGAGGCAGCAGUGGGGAAUAUUGGGCAAUGGGCGAAAGCCUGAUCCAGCCAUGCCGCGUGUGUGAAGAAGGUCUUCGGAUUGUAAAGCACUUUAAGUUGGGAGGAAGGGCAGUAAGUUAAUACCUUGCUGUUUUGACGUUACCAACAGAAUAAGCACCGGCUAACUUCGUG
rnacentral:rRNA from 1 species